rnacentral:rRNA from 1 species
CGCUAGCGGUGCGCCUACACAUGCAAGUCGAGCGAGAAGUUUUUCUAGCUUGCUAGAAGAAAUAGACAGCGGCGAACGGGUGAGUAACACGUUGGUAUCUGCCCCCAAGUCAGGGAUAGCCAGGAGAAAUCCUGAUUAAUACCGGAUAGUCUCUACGGAGUAAAAAUUUAUUGCUUGGGGAGGAGCCUGCGUCCUAUCAGCUAGUUGGUAAGGUAAAAGCUUACCAAGGCAAUGACGGGUAGCUGGUCUGAGAGGAUGAUCAGCCACAAUGAAACUGAGACACGGUUCAUACUCCUACGGGAGGCAGCAGUGAGGAAUCUUCCACAAUGGACGCAAGUCUGAUGGAGCGACACCGCGUGAAGGAUGAAGGCCUAACGGUUGUAAACUUCUUUUCUGAAGGAGCACAAAUGAGAGUACUUCAGGAAUAAGGGACGGCUAAAUACGUGCCAGCAGCCGCGGUAAUACGUAUGUCUCAAGCGUUAUCCGGAAUUACUGGGUGUAAAGGGUUCGUAGGCGGCAAGAUAAGUUGGAUAUGAAAGACCGGGGCUUAACCCCGAGUUUGUGUUCAAAACUGUCUAGCUAGAAUUAGGGAGAGGUAAGCAGAAUUCUAAGUGUAGGGGUGCAAUCCGUAGAUACUUAGAGGAAUACCAAAAGCGAAGGCAGCUUACUGGAACUAUAUUGACGCUGAGGAACGAAAGCGUGGGUAGCGAAAAGGAUUAGAUACCCUUGUAGUCCACGCCCUAAACGAUGAUAACUGAGUGUUGGGAUUUUAAUCUCAGUGCUGAAGCAAACGCGAUAAGUUAUCCACCUGAGGAGUACGGUCGCAAGAUUAAAACUCAAAGGAAUAGACGGGGACCCACACAAGCAGUGGAUCACGUGGUUUAAUUCGACAAUAAACGGGGAAUCUUACCCAGACUUGACAUCUAUAGAAUACUUCAGAAAUGAAGUAGUGCCCGUAAGGGAGCUAUAAGACAGGUGCUGCAUGGUCGUCGUCAGCUCGUGCCUUGAGGUGUUCGGUUAAGUCCGUUAACGAGCGCAACCCAUGUCAUUACUUAGAAAUGUGUAAUGAGACUGCCUAGGUUAACUAGGAGGAAGGUGUGGAUGACGUCAGAUCAGCAUGGCUUUUACGUCUGGGGCUACACACAUGAUACAAUGGUAUGUACAAAAAGCAGCAAUAUCGUAAGAUGGAGCUAAUCUUUUAAAUCAUAUCUCAGUCCGGAUUGAGGUCUGAAACUCGACCUCAUGAAGUUGGAAUUGCUAGUCCUCGCGCAUCAGAUAUGUCACGGUGAAUAUGUUCCUGGGUCUUGUACUCACCGCCCGUCACGGCAUGGGAGGUAGUAAUAUCGGAAGUCCCC